ACGGGGGGUGCAAGCGUUGUUCGGAAUUAUUGGGCGUAAAGAGCGUGUAGGCGGUUGAAUAAGUCAGAUGUGAAAUCCCUGGGCUUAACCCAGUAAGGGCAUUUAAUACUAUUCAGCUUGAGUACGGGAGAGGCAAGUGGAAUUCCUGGUGUAGAGGUGACGCUAUUAGAUGUCCGGAGGAGAUCCGGUGGCGACGGCGUAAUUCUAGACUUAUAGUGAGGCUGAGACGCGAGAGCGUGGGUAGCAUAAAG
rnacentral:rRNA from 1 species